rnacentral:lncRNA from 1 species
UCCCACAUUAUUGCAAGACAAGACUCUUCUUCCUCCCAUUGAAUCAAGAGCAAAAAUACACCAUUGUUGUCUUGCAAAUAAUUGUGGAAAACCAUAUACGAAUUUUGCUCAUUGUCAUAUUAUUGCUGAGUAAAUUCACAUAUUGUUUAAGUCUUGUGAAGCAUUCUUGUGGUGACAUACAACUUCAAAACAUUCUUGAAGAAAGGUUAAAGGAGCAAUCUUCAUAAGGACUCAAAGACAAUCAUCAAAGG